UCUCUGAUGGCUCAGAUGGUAAAGCAUCUGCCUGCAAUGCAGGAGACUCAGGUUCAAUCCUUGGGUCAGGAA
rnacentral:tRNA from 1 species